rnacentral:rRNA from 1 species
AACGAACGCUGGCGGCGUGCUUAACACAUGCAAGUCGAACGGAAAGGCCCUGCUUUUGUGGGGUGCUCGAGUGGCGAACGGGUGAGUAACACGUGAGUAACCUGCCCUUGACUUUGGGAUAACUUCAGGAAACUGGGGCUAAUACCGGAUAGGAGCUCCUGCUGCAUGGUGGGGGUUGGAAAGUUUCGGCGGUUGGGGAUGGACUCGCGGCUUAUCAGCUUGUUGGUGGGGUAGUGGCUUACCAAGGCUUUGACGGGUAGCCGGCCUGAGAGGGUGGCCGGCCACAUUGGGACUGAGAUACGGCCCAGACUCCUACUGGAGGCAGCAGUGGGGAAUAUUGCACAAUGGGCGGAAGCCUGAUGCAGCAACGCCGCGUGCGGGAUGACGGCCUUCGGGUUGUAAACCGCUUUCGCCUGUGACGAAGCGUGAGUGACGGUAAUGUGUAAAGAAGCACCGGCUAACUACGUG